GAGGAAAAUGUAUGGCUGGACCGAGAUUCUAACCUGGGACCCCUGCAUCACUAGUCAGAUCUUAUGGACAUACAUGAUCCUUGGCUAUAUAAUCAAGUGUCAUAUGCAGUGUUACAAAAGAAUAUUGGAAUUAUGUCAAUAAG